CCCAGCUGCUGCCAUGAUGGUGAAGGCUGGAGUUUUAUGUCAGGCAUCUGUUCGCUCAGGUUUUCAAGAGAAGUGAGGUGAGAUAAGACUGGGGACGAGCAGCACCAUGGCCCCUUUGCAGAGGUUUCUGCCAGGCGGUGGGACCACUGCUGUGGAGGGCUGACAUUCAGACUGGACGUGCCUUGAAGCAAACCGGCUCUCUGAAGAAGAAAUGACUGCUGGGCUACCCGAUUGCUGUGAGAAAGGGAUAUUCCAUAUCUACAUUUCAUAUCUACAGACUGGCAGUGUACACCGCCAAUUUUAAGAAAUUAAUGAAAUAUAUAAAAAUUUUGAGAUUGUUGAGAAUUAUUUGUUAGGCAUUUAAAAUCUUGUUUGAAGACAGGUCAGAUAGGCUCCACCAGUAGUCAGAAGGUCAUUUGUCAGAAAAAGGAUAAGAACUUUGAGCCAAUCUUUCCCCCUCUUUUCUUGUGCAAGGUUCCACAAGUCUCCCAUGGUUCAGGUUGAUCCAUAAACUGGGUGGUGAUAGUGGGGGAGCAUAUUUCUUGGAAAUUCUAUGCAAUUACCGGACCUAGAGGCAGUCUCAGGUUCACAUUAGGGAAGGAUAAAAUAAGGUGAAACACCUACUUUGUCCUCUGCACUGUACUCAGUGGCCUUUAAGUAUACCAUGUCAUUUAAUCCUCACAACAACCCUGGAGCAAACAGAUGAAGUGAUUUUCUCUCAGAGACAUAUCUGAGACUGAAUUUGGACUUCAGAUCAUACUGACUUUCAGACUCAGUUCUCCAAAGACUGUACAAGCUUUUACUUCACUGUAACAAAGUACAAGAUUUUGGGAUAAAAAAUAUAUCCAUUUUGUAUGUAGCCAAGUCUUAGGGAGUUUGUGUUAUCUCCUAGAGUCUGGAAGACAGGAUUUAUCUCUUAAAAUAUGGAUGGUAUCUUAGCUGCUUCCCCUUAGAAGACAGAAGGAGUGUUUCUGUGUCCUAUCACUGGCACAUAAAAUAUCUCUCCUCAUUGAUCUCUAGAGAUCAUUUCCUCCCAGAAAAAUAGAUGCCUCCUCGCAGAUAUAAACUUCCUCAUUCCUUCUUCUACACAUACUUCUGCAUCCCUCUCCCUCACAAAAGGAAUUACCAUGGAGACUCUUGCCUACAAAAAUUUCUGAAGGAAACAAGGCAAUGCCUUAGCUGUCAAUUUUAGCUUUGUUGCAUCUUGCUUUCUAGAGUCCCCAAGUUGGGGUAACAAAAUUUACCGUGCUUUCUGGAGCCCCCAAGCCAGUCUGAUUAAAAUAUUGUGUCCUGUUUCUUAGAGCCCCCUAAGUUGGGGUGACAAAACUUAUCAUGCUUUCUAGAGCCCCACUCUCUGGUAGUUAAAAUAUGCUAUCUUAGUGGAGACAUGAUGAAGUGGGACUCUUGAGGAUGGAAUCCGUUUACUUUCAGUUCUUUCACCCUUAUAUAACCUCAUACCCUUAUGUAACCAAAACAACGCUGCACAUGCACUAAGUGUAUACUGCACAUGUGGGACCACAUAAACAACUUGGCUAUUGUAAGUAGUUUGUCACCUGAUAUCAAUCUGCUUCAAUCACAACACAGGUUAUCAUUACCCCUGACUUCUAAGGAAAGCUGAGUGCCCUUAGAGGAGAUGGGGAACCGAACCUAACAUUUAGCAGCUUCUAUCUGGGCUUAAGGUUCUUAUACCUCACCCAGAAUUCUCCCAGUGUCUGUGACCAUCUACAUGUCUAUCUUUUUUGUUUGUUUGUUUUUGUUUUAAUUGAAGUAGGCAUAUAUAUCAGUGAUUAAAUCUAUCAGCAUGGAAGGAAUCACACAGGCAAGUUGUAAUAUCAUAUAUAAGCAAUUAGUAAUACAACAAAAAAAAUGAAUAAACAAAAAACUAUAAAGAUUUCCAUGAGUCCCAGAAGGAUGGUGCAGAAAAUAACUAUCAAUUCAAAAAUCACACAUACACCUCCUUUAGCAGCCAAGAGAUAUCCAAAGCCAAUCUAUUGUCAGUCACUUUAUGUGUUAGGGAAUCCAAUGCUUUCUCUAGGUCUUGAAAUCCUCCAUCAUUCUUUUCAUAUUUUAGGGAAUCCAAUGAUCCUGCAGGUUGUGAAGUCCUGCAUCAGUCUCAUUGACAAUUAUUUUUGAUAUUCAUGAGUUAAUUGACAUGACAUAGAGUUAACUGCCAGACUCUUUUCAGUGGUGGGCACAGUCAGAGAUGGAACCACCCGAUGUUUC
ensembl:lncRNA